UAGGGAAUCUUCCGCAAUGGACGCAAGUCUGACGGAGCAACGCCGCGUGAGUGAAGAAGGAUUUCGGUUCGUAAAACUCUGUUGUUAGAGAAGAACAGCGCAUAGAGUAACUGUUAUGCGUGUGACGGUAUCUAACCAGAAAGCCACGGCUAACUACGUGCCAGCAGCCGCGGUAAUACGUAGGUGGCAAGCGUUGUCCGGAUUUAUUGGGCGUAAAGCGAGCGCAGGCGGUCAAUUAAGUCUGAUGUGAAAGCCCCCGGCUCAACCGGGGAGGGUCAUUGGAAACUGGUUGGCUUGAGUGCAGAGGAGGAGGGUGGAAUUCCAUGUGUAACGGUGAAAUGCGUAGAUAUAUGGAGGAACACCAGUGGCGAAGGCGACUCUCUGGUCUGUAACUGACGCUGAGGCUCGAAAGCGUGGGUAGCAAACAGG
rnacentral:rRNA from 1 species